UACAGAGGGGGCAAGCGUUGCUCGGAAUUACUGGGCGUAAAGGGCGCGUAGGCGGCCUUCUAAGUCGAACGUGAAAUCCCCGGGCUCAACCCGGGAACUGCGUCCGAUACUGGAAGGCUUGAAUCCGGGAGAGGGAUGCGGAAUUCCAGGUGUAGCGGUGAAAUGCGUAGAUAUCGGGAGGAACACCAGAGGCGAAGGCGGCCGACUGGGCUGUACCUGACACUGAGGUGCGAAAGCGUGGGGAGCGAACCGG
rnacentral:rRNA from 1 species